UUCUUCAGAAAGGAAAUUUUUAACUUCCGAAACUGCCCUCUUCUCCUUCCUCGCCACCUCGACACCGCCGGCGAACUCCACCAUACCAAUCAAACCCUAGCUCCUCCAACCCUUUCUUCAUCACCGCCAUUGACUCUAAUUCUCGUCUCCCUAUCAUCCUUGAGGUCGCGGGCAUGGCGGCAUGGAACCGGACCCCUUUCCGAUCUCCGAAUGUUUCCUUCUCCUCCAUCGGGCCUUCUUCAUCCGGUGGAUCUCCGAUGAUCGAACUUGUCAGCGUGGUUCUUCUCCGCACUGACCACUGCUACAACAUUGAAUAAUAUCCUGGCAGUGGCUGGCACUUCAAGGAAUUUCACCCAUUCCAACAGCACAUAAUGAUUGCAAUAUAGCUAUGCUUUGCUGCCUACCUGUGACUCUGUCAGUGCCUAUCACAAGGGAUCCAUUAUUGACCAAAUUGAUUAUAACAUCCAGAAUGCUGUAGCUUCUGUGGAUGAAGGUUCUGAGCAAUUGCAACAGCCCCCACCUCCUUAAACUCACUGGAUUCUUUUCAGGGAUGGUGACAACUGCAGAUUUUUAUCACCGAAAGCAGUGAUGGUCCACAACUGACCAGCAGUCUUUUGUUACCAAGAAAGCAUAAGAUGGAGCCGGCUUCACUCCAACUGAAACACACACACACACACAGUGAUUCUAAAUUGUUUGUUUGUUGGAGUUGGCUUCUAAGUUCUAACUGUGGGCACCAUAUGUUUCAAAUUUUGAGGUUUGAAGCCAUAUAUAUUAAAUCCUUGUCAUGGGUGUUAUACAUUUGAUGUAUUCUUUUCUAGGGAAAGUAAUGUACACUGUUAACUUUUCAUGGU